rnacentral:rRNA from 1 species
GAGUUUGAUCCUGGCUCAGGAUGAACGCUGGCGGCGUGCUUAACACAUGCAAGUCGAACGAAGCGCCUUAUUUGAUUUUUCUUCGGAACUGAAGAUUUGGUGACUGAGUGGCGGACGGGUGAGUAACGCGUGGGUAACCUGCCCUGUACAGGGGGAUAACAAUCAGAAAUGACUGCUAAUACCGCAUAAGACCACAGCACCGCAUGGUGCAGGGGUAAAAACUCCGGUGGUACAGGAUGGACCCGCGUCUGAUUAGCUGGUUGGUGAGGUAACGGCUCACCAAGGCGACGAUCAGUAGCCGGCUUGAGAGAGUGAACGGCCACAUUGGGACUGAGACACGGCCCAAACUCCUACGGGAGGCAGCAGUGGGGAAUAUUGCACAAUGGGGGAAACCCUGAUGCAGCAACGCCGCGUGAGUGAAGAAGUAUUUCGGUAUGUAAAGCUCUAUCAGCAGGGAAGAAAGUGACGGUACCUGACUAAGAA